rnacentral:rRNA from 1 species
CCUACGGGAGGCAGCAGUGGGGAAUAUUGGGCAAUGGGCGCAAGCCUGACCCAGCAACGCCGCGUGAAGGAAGAAGGCUUUCGGGUUGUAAACUUCUUUUCUCAGGGACGAAGAAAGUGACGGUACCUGAAGAAAAAGCAUCGGCUAACUCCGUGCCAGCAGCCGCGGUAAUACGGAGGAUGCGAGCGUUAUCCGGAUUUAUUGGGUUUAAAGGGUGCGUAGGCGGGUUAUCAAGUCAGCGGUAAAAUCGUGGAGCUCAACUCCAUCCAGCCGUUGAAACUGAUGAUCUUGAGUGGGCGAGAAGUAUGCGGAAUGCGUGGUGUAGCGGUGAAAUGCAUAGAUAUCACGCAGAACUCCGAUUGCGAAGGCAGCAUACCGGCGCCCGACUGACGCUGAAGCACGAAAGCGUGGGUAUCGAACAGGAUUAGAUACCCUGGUAGUC